rnacentral:rRNA from 1 species
UCUCAACUUUAUUAGAAGAGACGCAUUUAUUAGAUAAAAAGCCAGUUCAUGCUUUUACAGUAUGAAAAUUGGUGAUUUAUAAUAACUUAGCAAAUCGCAAAGUGAAAACAGGCGAUAAAUCAUUCAAGUUUCUGACCUAUCAGCUUUCGACGGUAUGGUAUUGGCUUACCGUGGCAGUGACGGUUAACGGGGGAUUAGGGUUCGAUUCCGGAGAGGGAGCCUGAGAAACGGCUACCACAUCUAAGGAAGGCAGCAGGCGCGCAAAUUACCCAAUUCUAACAGUUUGAGAGAGGUAGUAACAAGAAAUAACAAUACAAGGCAGUUAAAAUGCUUUGUAAUUGGAAUGAUAGAAAUUUAAACCCUUUUUAAAGUAUCAAUUGGAGGGCAAGUCUGGUGCCAGCAGCCGCGGUAAUUCCAGCUCCAAUAGCGUAUAUUAAAAUUGUUGCAGUUAAAAAGCUCGUAGUUGAAGUUCUGCURAAAGUAACCGGUCUGCUUUUAAUAAAAGUGGUAUCUUGGUAUGUAUUUAGCAAUGAUGUCCUUUGAAGUGUUUUUUACUUUAUUGUAAUAAAGCAUAUUCAGGACUUUUACUUUGAGAAAAUUAGAGUGUUUCUAGCAGGCUGACGCUUUGAAUACUGCAGCAUGGAA